CCCAGACCCGCCAGGUGGAGAAGGGAUCUCUGUAACAAGCAGGAUGUGCAGACAAGGUUUCCUCUACCGUUGUAAUGUCCAGUAGCACAUCUGUGCUAGCAGGCUGAAACUUCCUGCUUUCACUCAGCAGGAAAAUGCCGACUUCUCCAAGGGGUCUUCUAGAGAGCCACAACUCUAAACAGACUUGGCCUUCCCCUGCCCCAGCCUCCAAUGCAAGUACCUGCUGCUGCUUCAGUUUCACUGCUGCUGUUACUGGCACACACCUUGACACAGAGCACAUG